rnacentral:rRNA from 1 species
GAUGAACGCUGGCGGCGUGCUUAACACAUGCAAGUCGAACGAAGCGCUUAAACGGAUUUCUUCGGAAUGAAGUUUUUGCGACUGAGUGGCGGACGGGUGAGUAACGCGUGGGUAACCUGCCUCAUACAGGGGGAUAACAGUUAGAAAUGACUGCUAAUACCGCAUAAGCACACAGUACCGCAUGGUACAGAGUGAAAAACUCCGGUGGUAUGAGAUGGACCCGCGUCUGAUUAGCUGGUUGGCGGGGUAACGGCCCACCAAGGCGACGAUCAGUAGCCGACCUGAGAGGGUGACCGGCCACAUUGGGACUGAGACACGGCCCAA